rnacentral:rRNA from 1 species
UACGUAGGCAGCGAGCGUUGUUCGGAGUUACUGGGCGUAAAGAGCGCGCAGGCGGUCGUUCAAGUCGCGUGUGAAAGCCCCCGGCUCAACUGGGGAGGGUCACGCGAUACUGAUCGACUCGAAGGCAGGAGAGGGAAGUGGAAUUCCCGGUGUAGUGGUGAAAUGCGUAGAUAUCGGGAGGAACACCAGUGGCGAAGGCGACUUCCUGGCCUGUUCUUGACGCUGAGGCGCGAAAGCUAGGGGAGCGAACGGG